GGGAGGGGGGUGAACAGUCAGUCAGUCGCACAGGCCAGCCUCGUUCCUGAUGGCAACCGGCACAGCGGUCGUUACCUGCCGAGGUGGUGGUAGCAAAGAACGACAGGUGGGAGAGCGGAAUACCUGGAUGACUUCCUACCGGGGAACAGGCGCCUCAGUCCUCAAGUAAGAACGUCUGACGUCGGUUACAGCGGUCUACGAGAGAAACGUCCACGAGUUCUACGUGGGCGCACGAGCACCAUCGUCAUCGCCACAUUAACCCCGUUCGAAGAAUACCCGCGGGGAACAGACUCGCGCGUUUAGUUGACUCUCGCGCUUUGAACUGGCGAUCGCGUUCAGUGAAAGAAAACUGAAGAGAGGGUCGUUCGCACCCCAAAAUGGCGUUUCGUCUGAUGAACAUUCGGUGAACUUCCCUAACGGAGUGCGCUCGUUGCGGACGUAUUAAUUAUUGUUCCGAAUUGGAGUAACAUCGGAACAUCCUCCGCAAUAGUUUUCUGGAACGAGAGGACGUUCAAGGCCGGAGUUCACGUGAAGAUUUACGGUUGCUAACGAAAUGGAACGCUGGAUGCUUUGCUUGCUUCUCAUCGCUCUGGUUGCCAAAGAAUCCAAUGGCGCUGGAUGCGGUUAUCCGGGUGCACCGGCACAUAGCAGCGUGCGUUUUUCCACCAGAAAUACCGAUUUCGUCAUAGAUGAGGAGGAUGCCCUUCUUAACGAAACCAUGUUAUUGGAGGGCACCAUAGCUACAUAUUCCUGUGAACGAGGAUUCGAGCUUCUGGGACCAGCGAGAAGGGAAUGCAAACCCGAUGGGAUGUGGACGCCGGAAAGCGUGCCUUUUUGCGUUCUGAACGUGGCAGGCGGCAAAGCGCCGAUGCAGUCCAGCACCAUGGACGGCGCGACUCCACAGCGCGCGGUCGACGGAAGCAGCAGCCAGGUUUACACGUCGGAAACCUGCACCCUGACGAGGCCCGAGCUCAAACCGUGGUGGUACGUGAACCUGUUGGAACCGUACAUGGUGCAGCUGGUGCGACUGGACUUUGGCAAGCCGUGCUGCGAGGACGGCGCCAUCGUCGUUCGAGUUGGUAAUAAUCGACCAGACUCAGGAACGAAUCCUAUUUGCAAUCAAUACACCGGAUACGUGGGGGAAGGGCAGCCACUCUUUUUGCCUUGCAAUCCGCCGAUGCCCGGAGCUUUUGUCUCGGUGCAUCUUGAGUUCCCGAGGAGCACGAGUAUUAAAGCGCAGCUGUCCUUGUGCGAGGCUUUCGUCUAUACCGAUCAGGCCUUGCCGAUCGAGAGGUGCCCUCAAUUCCGGGACCAACCGCCGGGAUCAACGGCGACGUACAACGGCAAGUGCUACAUAUUUUACAAUCGCAAUCCGUUGAAGUUUACGGAUGCUUUGGCCUUUUGCCGUGCACGAGGUGGUACCCUUGUGGAUGAGAGCAAUCCUGCUCUGCAGGGAUUCAUUUCCUGGGAGUUAUGGAGACGGCAUAGGAGCGACACGUCCAGUCAAUACUGGAUAGGCGCAGUUAGGGAUGCUAAUGAUCGGGCGUUGUGGAAGUGGUCCGGGAGCGGCGAGGAGGUCUCUGUUUCAUUUUGGAGUCUACCGCAAGAUAGUACCAAUGGAAAUUGUGCUCGGUAUGACGGUAGUAAUGGCUGGCUUUGGUCCGAUACACCUUGCACAGCCAGACUUAAUUUCAUCUGUCAACAUCAACCACAAGCUUGCGGUAGACCCGAACAACCACCAAAUUCCACGAUGAUUGUGACCACCGGGUCGUCCAAGGCACCUGUAUACGAAGUCGGGGCGACGGUAGAGUACAGUUGUAACGUGGGCAGUCUGCUAAUCGGACCGUCGGUCCGCACUUGUCUCGACACCGGUUUCUACAACGAGUUUCCGCCAGUGUGCAAAAAUAUCGAGUGCGGCUACCCCGCGAGCAUAAAGAACGGCGGUUACACGCUUAUCAAUAACACCGUCAGUUUCCUGAGUCAGGUGCUUUAUUAUUGCGACGACGGAUACGAGAUGACCGGACGUGCCCUAUUGAUGUGCGACGUCGACGAGCGUUGGAACGGACCACCACCGCGAUGUGAGCCGAUUCGCUGCGCUGCACCGGCCCCGGUCACGCAUGGUUAUAUAGAGAAGAUCGACACAGACGAAAGUGCUGCGGCGAAGAAUCUCAAUCGAAGUCUGCUGGUUAACAGCAUCGUCACUUACACGUGCGAGAAGGGCUAUCGGCUCGUUGGUUCUCGGCAAAUAACGUGUUUGAGUACCGGAUUUUACGAUCGCGUUGCACCUACCUGCAUAGACGACUCACGGGCUACCAUGGUCUCGCCUACCCGAGCGACGAUACGUCCGUCCACUACAAAAACUCGAACGUAUCUUACUCCGAGAGUGAGGACCACGACGAGUAGCAGCACGGGAACUCCCGUCACGACCUCCAAUCCAUCUAGGAUUGUGCCUGGCACCGCGGAACUCCCAGCAACUGUGAGAGAGACCGUCUCGAGGAGGCCGACAAUCGGUCUGAGACCCGCGCUUCCUACGUCAGUAGACACCGGUAGUGAGCAUCCGCAGGACAACGAGAUAUCCCAAAGCGUGGACCACGCACAAGCGGGAAUCGGCGCGGGCGUGCCGGAACCGUCUGGUCCUUUCCGAGUGGACAACGCUGAGCAUCCCAGCGGCACCCAUCAAGCCAAACUGAACCUGGGAGCCGUGAUCGCCCUGGGAGUGUUCGGCGGUUUUGUGUUCCUCGCCGCGGUGAUCACGACGGUCGUUAUUCUCAUACGCAGGUAAAAAAACGAACGUACUCUUUUAAUCCAUCUUGAACGAUGAUUCGAUGACUUUGAGGAUCAUCGCCAAGAUCAUCCCUCCGUCCCACGAAUCUUUUCUGUAUUUGAUGAUAUCAGCCCACUCCCGAUAUAUAUAGAUGACAUUUGAUCAGAUUGUACAUUAUAUCGCUUACUUUGUAUUAAUUCGAUCUACUUUCUGUCCUCUACCGCUCUGUCUUCUUCCUAACUUGUAAUACAUAUAUGCUGCAUUGUAAUCUAGAUUUUCUUUUUUAUAUAAGAUGAUUUUGCUUACUGAAAUCGCGUGUACAUGUUUCUCAGAGUCUUGAUGUAACAAAAGAGUCUCUAACAUGUCAGAUAGAAUUACGUGGGGAUAAUAGUACUACUUCUUUACCUUUAGUACUGUACCUUUCAUUCAUUGAUCAUAAGCUUCUUGUAAUUUAGCCUGUUUUAUUUACUUUAAACAUAGCCUCAAAUUACGCUUUGCAAAGGCGACUUUCUCAUUUCUGAUCGAGUCGUAAUGAUUUUUUUUCUUAUUUGUAUCGUUUACUAACCAAUGGUUCUCAACGCGAGUUAUACGGCCACCUAAAGACCUGUGGCACAUGUAAAAAGUGGAAUAUCAUUAGGGGCUACAAUAAAUAAGUCAAUCGAAAUAUCUUUCGUCGGGUUGAGGAUAACUGUAAGUAAAUGCAAACAAAAGUGACGAAGUAAGGUUGAGAAACAGUGGUGUAGACGCAUCGCAAGACUCUUGCGUCAUCUUAAUGUAGCAUCAGGGAAACGCGCGAGUCUCGUAGUCUAGUCCGUCGAUGACGAUGAUUAACAACAGAGUCCAUUUGUGCAUUGCGGUGGUUAGCGGCAGUGGCAGCGUCAGAGGAAGGCGCCGCAGGGGGCUCGGUGGGGUUGGUGCGCUGAGGGGUGGCGGUAGUGGUGGCCUUGGGAGGGGCGACACCGGGAUGCCCUCGCGUUGGUAUACGCUACUCGCGCUGCCCUUCCCCGACCAGCACCUGGGGCGCCGCGACCUCACGGCACGCCGCGGUAGCGAUCAUCCUUAUUCCUUCAGCCUAUCGGCGGCACAUCGCGCCGGUUACUUCUCGAAUCCCUCUCUGUAGAUCGCCAUCGACGCCCUUCCCUCUCACCCCGCCGUAAAAAGAUAGAGAAAAGAAAGAGAGAGAGAGAGAAAGAGAGAAAACUAUUCUACCUUAAUAAAGCCUACAACCACCACUACCACCCCAACCCUCCACGCAACCACCGCCCACCACAACAACUAUCAUCACGUACCAGCUACCACGCGCCACCCUCGCGAGUGAUACUAGUCAAGAAACCGCGGAAGAAGCAGCAAACACUAUCGUCACCGUGCAUCGCCCGAUUGCAAUACUGUCGCCAGUUUCGACAGCAGUUCCUCGGAGAGUCGAGGAGGUCUGAAUCGGUACUAUCGCCAAGCCUGGGAGAAUCUACAUGAAACCGCCGGUCACAAAGCCGGCCAUCCGCCGCUUCGUCGUAAAGAGACUCUAGAUGAGCCAGGAUACCGGGAGAAUUUCCGC